rnacentral:rRNA from 1 species
AACGGAGGGUGCAAGCGUUGUUCGGAAUUACUGGGCGUAAAGCGCGUGCAGGUGGUUUUUUAAGUUUCAUGUGAAAUCCCUCGGCUUAACCGAGGAACUGCGUGGAAAACUGAAAAACUUGAAUACGGGAGAAGGGGGCGGAAUUCCCAGUGUAGAGGUGAAAUUCGUAGAGAUUGGGAGGAACAUCAGCGGCGAAAGCGGCUCCCUAGACCGAUAUUGACGCUCAUACGCGAGAGCGUGGGUAGCAAACAGG